rnacentral:lncRNA from 1 species
UUAGGGGGAUAAGAUUUAGGAUCGAGGAAUGUGGAGACCACUGAGCGAAAGGUGUGGAGAAAAAAAACAGCCACACAAAACAUCUUUACCACAGAACAUUUUAAUAAAUUCAGACGUGGACUAGAAAAACUGACAAAAGGCAUUUUUUGUAUUAAAUAAAUUAGCUUAACUAAUAACAGGUAGUUUCGUUCCACUGCAGGACUUCUAUGUUACACUGACAUCGCCAUGGACUCUCUCUCUAACGACUGACAGAUGUCAAUCAGGCAGACGCUCAACCGGAUCAGCAGAAGUAAGAUCAUAAUAUCUUUCUCAGGUCAAUAAGUUCAUCAGCGAACUAGUGUUUAACAUUCAGAUAGGACUCUCGACAUGGAGUUGAGAAUGUGAUUGAACACCAAAGCCUUAAAAAAAAAAAGAGUCUUUCAGUGUGAACUGAGGAAUACAGAACAAGUUAUUUCAAGGCAUUUCUGAACGUUUAUAAGCUGCCUCAAUGGUCCUGGCUUUAGGUAGUAUGACACUACUUGUCCAACCGCUCAUUUGAAAAAGCAUUUUAGGGCCCCGAUUCAAAUCAGCCGUGUCAGGAGGUUCUGCGUUAGAGCUAUCUAAUCCACAAGCGGUUCCAGGUCUAAUCCACAAGCGGUUCCAGGUCAAAUCCACAAGCGGUUCCAGGUCAAAUCCACAAGCGGUUCCAGGUCAAAUCCACAAGCGGUUCCAGGUAUACCGGACAUUGCCAGUGGCUGCAUGAAGUCACAUUAAGAGAAAUAUCAUGCAGCCUUGUUUACAAUUUCGGAUGACAACCGGCAUUUUCUUUCGGAUGUCGAGAAAGGAAUCAGGAAAAAAUAUAUAAUUUCCUGGUGUGAUACAAGGGACGAUAUUUUGGCGUUUCGUAAUAUUUAAUCAUUCCAGAAUGUUCCCCUCUAUCUGGACUCCUAGAUGAGGCUUCAUUCGUCUUCAUGGAAACAAGUGUUAGAAUCGGUUCGAUAGAAAACAAAACAGUCAGAAGAAGAAGAGAAGUCUCCAGGUCUUUGGUUCUGUUCUGUUCAGGCAUUUUGAUUGGUCCACAGCCAGGGCAGGGGUUAGAGGUGAGGGGUGCAGUACAGAAUCCAUAUCAGUCCUGGGGGGGGG